ensembl:lncRNA
CAAAAGAAUAUGGACAGAUUUCUUAAAAGAAAAGCUCCAGAUGCUUCUGGACCAUGAACUUCAUCCUCAGGUAGCUAAAGCCUUUCGCCUCCACUGACUGCGCGCGCACCUCCACAAACGAACGAUGCGUUUAUACUUCACUUCAAAGAAUCAUAUACGAAUCAUAUAAAACCCAUUAACCCUUGAGAUCAUCACUUCAGACAUUACAGCACAGCUAUAACCACGAGAACAUGAUUAAAACGAAAUGGAUCAACCUCAAUUUAUUUUAUUUUAUUCGUUUCAUUAAGAUUUUUUUAAACAUGGACCUUCACUCGCAUUAAAUAGACUUAUUAUUAUUGAGCUAUCAUAGGCUCAUUUUGUAAAUGUUAGCAAUAACUGUAAACAAAAAGUGGGAGCUUCCUGCAGAUGUCAUUUCUCACGUUUACAAAAUCAGGUGUCAUUAUGUUCGCCCAUCAGUGUAAACGUCUCUACGUAUAAAGACAGAAGAAUGAGGUUUAAUCACUGUCUGAUGGAGUAGUGUAGUGACUGUGUUUAUUUGUGAAGAUUGAAAACAUGGUGCACUCCAGAAAACUUUCCGCUUUGGCUUUAUUCUUUCAGCAGUAUGUACAAAGCAAAUCGAAAUGACUAUUUUUAAAAAAGCUUUCCAUGUUUUUUUUUUGCCAUCUGGAUAUCUCUAUGGUCCCUCAUAGAUGAAUCAUAACGAUGCCUGUACAAUCGGACCUUUCAGCAAGAGUCAACUCCAAGUCACUCACUUCAUAGCCGUGCGAACUGGCACGGAACGCCUGCACUCCAGCUCGACCUGCCCACCGCAGUGACGUCAAUUUAUCCGCACUGUGACUUGCGCUAUUGCGGACGCGUCGAGUAAUAGCCCAGGUUUAACGCUAACGGUUUCUUUCAAAAUGUUCAAACGGUGCUGUGACUGAAAAAGGCUGGGAAACACUGUUCUAUGACAGGCUUUUUGCUUCUCUUUUCUUUGCUCGGCGGUAAUCAGCGCUACAGUAGCUACAGAAAUGUCUCCAGCCGGCUGUUUUAUUUGGCUCUUUAUUCUUUUACUCCUGGGACGCCGCGGCGUUCUAACUUUGCAGAAUUGCUCUGAGCUGCACAACAUCACCUGUGAUCGCAUGGGUAAUGCCAUGUUGAACACUAGUGAGAUUUACCUGAUGAGGAACGACUGCAUGUGGAGUUUUAGAGACACGGAGGAUAAAGUUCUUGAACUACUAACACCAUCUCCAAAUGUGUCUGUCCAAUGUACCUUGCAUGAAAUUCGCUUGAAGGUGCACUGUAUCACCCCAAAGUAUGAGUAUUGGGCUUGCUACAAUCUUACUAAUCAAACUAACAGUCAAACCGGUGCGCCAAGUCCUCAUGGAACAUCCAAGCAUAGAGUGCGUGAGUUGGUGAUCAUAGCUGUGGCUCUGUUUCUGAUGGCGCUGGUUGGUCUUGUCAUUGUUUCAAAAAAGGACAAAAAGGCUACUGUUAAAACAUACCUGGCCACUGCCCAGCCAUGUUGGAAGAUAUCCCGUGGUCCUGGAAGGGGCAACGAAAGCAACGAAAACAACUAAGACGAUUGCUGAAAUCCCUGGAAUUGAGUUAAGAACUGUUCAUGUUCAGUGCUACUUCAAAGAAAUAUGUUUAACUCUUGGGUCACGGGGAACUUGGAGCCUAUCCCAGCGAGCAUGAGGCACAAGGCGGGGUACACCCUGGACAGGGUGCCAAUUCAUCGCAGGGCACAAUCACACACAAUCAAGCUGUCUUGAUUGUUUUAUUUUCUUUGUCACACUGUUCUUCUGUUUCUGCUUGCAUAUUUUACAAAUAUGAAUUGAUAUCUUUUGAAAAAAAAUAUGUUUAAAUAGCAUUUAUGUUUCUGUAUUGUGUUAUAUUUUUAUGCUAGUAACUGGUGUUAAAAAUUGGUCCGACCCUCAAUGAGCCGGUGUGUUAUGAUGUGGCGUGUUGUGGGCCGGGUGUGGAGGUCCACUCUGGUGGACCACUUUUUUUGGUCCCAGUCCACCCCUGAUUAUUGCUAUAAUGCUAAAUAAAAUGUGCUGAAAUUUUAAAUAUCGACGUUCAAACACCCCAAUGAGGGCCCCAUUUCCUACAUUUUGCCUAGGGCACCCAAAUCACUAAAUCCGCCCUUGGCUAUGUUUAAAUAGUGAAAGUAAGAACAUUUCCACAUGCACAACGCGGUGAUAACUUGAAGGAUACACAGCUAUGUGGCCUAAUGAGUGUGAGGUUAAUCAGAUAAAAACGACUUCAGUUUGCUAGAGAGCAUAAAGAUUGGACUGUGGAGCAAAGGAAAAAGGUCAUGUGGCCUGAUGAGUCCAGAUUUACCCUACAAAGCCAUGGGUACAUCAGGGUAAGAAGGGAAGCACAUGAAGCGAUGCACCCAUCAUUCACAAUCCCUGCUACAAGCCUGCUACACAUGAAUUAGCCACCACAGAGUCCUGACCUUAACCGCAUUGAAAGUCUUUAUAAUAAUGUAUUAAACGUUAUAUGAUUUUUAAAUGAUGUAACUCUGGAUGGAAAUAAAUGUUGUCACGUUGUAAAGGUUGUCGAAACAAUGCCAUGAUGAAUGCGC